rnacentral:rRNA from 1 species
GACGAACGCUGGCGGCGUGCUUAACACAUGCAAGUCGAACGGAAAGGCCCUGCUUUUGUGGGGUGCUCGAGUGGCGAACGGGUGAGUAACACGUGAGUAACCUGCCCUUGACUUUGGGAUAACUUCAGGAAACUGGGGCUAAUACCGGAUAGGAGCUCCUGCCGCAUGGUGGGGGUUGGAAAGUUUCGGCGGUUGGGGAUGGACUCGCGGCUUAUCAGCUUGUUGGUGGGGUAGUGGCUUACCAAGGCUUUGACGGGUAGCCGGCCUGAGAGGGUGACCGGCCACAUUGGGACUGAGAUACGGCCCAGACUCCUACGGGAGGCAGCAGUGGGGAAUAUUGCACAAUGGGCGGAAGCCUGAUGCAGCAACGCCGCGUGCGGGAUGACGGCCUUCGGGUUGUAAACCGCUUUCGCCUGUGACGAAGCGUGAGUGACGGUAAUGGGUAAAGAAGCACCGGCUAACGACG